UUUAAUCAGAGAGUUUGAUCCUGGCUCAGGAUGAACGCUGGCGGCGUGCUUAACACAUGCAAGUCGAACGGGAAAUAUUUCAUUGAGACUUCGGUGGAUUUGAUCUAUUUCUAGUGGCGGACGGGUGAGUAACGCGUGGGUAACCUGCCUUAUACAGGGGGAUAACAGUCAGAAAUGGCUGCUAA
rnacentral:rRNA from 1 species